UACGUAGGGUCCGAGCGUUGUCCGGAAUUACUGGGCGUAAAGAGCUCGUAGGCGGUCUGUCGCGUCUGGUGUGAAAACUCAGGGCUUAACCCUGAGCUUGCAUCGGGUACGGGCAGACUAGAGUGCGGUAGGGGAGACUGGAAUUCCGUGGUGAUAGCGGUGAAAUGACGCAGAUAUCAGGAGGAACACCGGUGGCGAAGGCGGGUCUCUGGGCCGUAACUGACGCUGGAGGAGCGGAAAGCCGUGGGGAGCGAACAGGA
rnacentral:rRNA from 1 species